rnacentral:rRNA from 1 species
UCGAACGGCAGCGGGGUAGUGCUUGCACUACUGUCCGGCGAGUGGCGAACGGGUGAGUAAUAUAUCGGAACGUACCGAGUAAUGGGGGAUAACCAAUCGAAAGAUUGGCUAAUACCGCACACGUCCUACGGGAGAAAGCGGGGGAUCGCAAGACCUCGCGUUAUUCGAGCGGCCGAUAACUGAUUAGCUAGUUGGUGGGGUAAAGGCCUACCAAGGCGACGAUCAGUAGCGGGUCUGAGAGGACGAUCCGCCACACUGGGACUGAGACACGGCCCAGACUCCUACGGGAGGCAGCAGUGGGGAAUUUUGGACAAUGGGGGCAACCCUGAUCCAGCCAUGCCGCGUGUAUGAAGAAGGCCUUCGGGUUGUAAAGUACUUUUGUUAGGGAAGAAAAGGGAAGUGCUAAUACCACUUUUUGCUGACGGUACCUAAAGAAUAAGCACCGGCUAACUACGUGCCAGCAGCCGCGGUAAUACGUAGGGUGCGAGCGUUAAUCGGAAUUACUGGGCGUAAAGCGAGCGCAGACGGUUAUUUAAGCAGGAUGUGAAAUCCCCGGGCUUAACCUGGGAACUGCGUUCUGAACUGGAUAGCUAGAGUGUGUCAGAGGGGGGUAGAAUUCCACGUGUAGCAGUGAAAUGCGUAGAGAUGUGGAGGAAUACCGAUGGCGAAGGCAGCCUCCUGGGAUAACACUGACGUUCAUGCCCGAAAGCGUGGGUAGCAAACAGGAUU